AGCAGCCGCGGUAAUUCCAGCUCCAAUAGCGUAUAUUAAAGUUGUUGCAGUUAAAAAGCUCGUAGUUGAAUUUCGGGAUCAAUAUAUUGGUCGUGCCUCCGGUAUGCACUGGUAUUAUUGAUUUCUACCUUCUGACGAACUGUGAUGUCAUUAAUUUGGUGUCAUAGGGAAUCAGGACUGUUACUUUGAAAAAAUUAGAGUGUUUAAAGCAGGCAUUUUGCUUGAAUACAUUAGCAUGGAAUAAUAAAAUAGGACGGCAUGGUUCUAUUUUGUUGGUUUCUAGGAUCACCGUAAUGAUUAAUAGGGAUAGUUGGGGGCAUUAGUAUUCAAUUGUCAGAGGUGAAAUUCUUGGAUUUAUUGAAGACUAACUUCUGCGAAAGCAUUUGCCAAGGAUGUUUUCAUUAAUCAAGAACGAAAGUUAGGGGAUCGAAGACGAUCAGAUACCGUCGUAGUCUUAACCAUAAACUAUGCCGACUAGGAAUCGGACGAAGUUAAUUUUAUAGUGACUCG
rnacentral:rRNA from 1 species